UACGUAGGGUGCGAGCGUUGUCCGGAUUUAUUGGGCGUAAAGAGCUCGUAGGCGGCUCGUCGCGUCGACCGUGAAAACCCGCGGCUUAACUGCGGGCUUGCGGUUGAUACGGGCGGGCUAGAGUUCGGUAGGGGAGACUGGAAUUCCUGGUGUAGCGGUGAAAUGCGCAGAUAUCGGGAGGAACACCGGUGGCGAAGGCGGUUCUCUGGGCCUGUACUGACGCUGAGGAGCGAAAGCGUGGGGAGCGAACAGG
rnacentral:rRNA from 1 species